UGGGGAAUAUUGUACAAUGGACGGAAGUUUGAUGCAGCGACGCCGCGUGGUGGGUGUAGGCCUUCGGGUUGUGAACUCCUUUUUCCCGCGAAAAAGGCACAGUUUUGGCUGUGUUGAUGUUAGCGGGGGAAGAAGCGCCGGCUAACUACGUGCCAGCAGCCGCGGUAAUACGCAGGGCGCGAGCGUUGUUCGGAUUUAUUGGGCGUAAAGAGCUCGUAGGUGGUUCGUCGCGUCUGUCGUGAAAGCCAGCCGCUUAACUGUUGGUCUGCGGUGGGUACGGGCGGGCAUGAGUGCGGUAGGGGGGACUGGAAUUCCUGGUGUAGCGGUGGAAUGCGCAGAUAUCAGGAGGAACACCGGUGGCGAAGGCAGGUCACUGGGCCGUUACUGACACUGAGGAGCAGAAGCGUGGGGAGCGAACAGG
rnacentral:rRNA from 1 species